GAUGAACGCUGGCGGCGUGCCUAAUACAUGCAAGUCGAGCGAACGGACGAGAAGCUUGCUUCUCUGAUGUUAGCGGCGGACGGGUGAGUAACACGUGGAUAACCUACCUAUAAGACUGGGAUAACUUCGGGAAACCGGAGCUAAUACCGGAUAAUAUUUUGAACCGCAUGGUUCAAAAGUGAAAGACGGUCUUGCUGUCACUUAUAGAUGGAUCCGCGCUGCAUUAGCUAGUUGGUAAGGUAACGGCUUACCAAGGCAACGAUGCAUAGCCGACCGGAGAGGGUGGUGCGCCACAGGGGAAGUGAGCCCGGGCCCAGCCUCCCGCGGGGGGCAGCGUGGGGGACUCCUCCGAAGAGGGGGAAGCCCGGACGGCGCACCGCCGCGGGGUGGAUGAGGUUCUUCGGACCUUAAACCUUUUUUAUUGGGGAGAAACAUAUGUGAAAGAACCUGGGCACCUUUGGCGGCCCCCUAAUAAGAAAGCCCCGCCUAACCACGGC
rnacentral:rRNA from 1 species